rnacentral:rRNA from 1 species
AACGAACGCUGGCGGCAGGCCUAACACAUGCAAGUCGAGCGCCCGCAAGGGAGCGGCAGACGGGUGAGUAACGCGUGGGAAUUUACCCCGAGGUACGGAACAACUCGGCGAAAGCUGAGCUAAUACCGUAUGUGACCGAGAGGUGAAAGAUUUAUCGCCUCGGGAUGAGCCCGCGUAGGAUUAGCUAGUUGGUGGGGUAAUGGCCCACCAAGGCGACGAUCCUUAGCUGGUCUGAGAGGAUGAUCAGCCACACUGGGACUGAGACACGGCCCAGACUCCUACGGGAGGCAGCAGUGGGGAAUAUUGGACAAUGGGGGCAACCCUGAUCCAGCCAUGCCGCGUGAGUGAUGAAGGCCUUAGGGUUGUAAAACUCUUUUAUCCGGGAAGAUAAUGACUGUACCGGAAGAAUAAGCCCCGGCUAACUUCGUGCCAGCCGCCGCUGUAACAC